CUGUCCUGUGGCACAUAGAGCUCCCGGGCCAGGGAUCAGAUCUGAGCUGCAGCAGCGAACUAAGCUGGAUCCUUAAUCCACUGUGCCUGGCCGGGGAUCGAACCCAUGUCCCAGCGUUGCCAAGAGACUGCCAUUCCCAUUGCACCACAGCAGGAGCUCCAAAACCUAUUGCAUUUUGCCAUAAAUAUCUUCAAUAAGAGAGGAUAAAAACAGGAGCUGGGAAUUUAUGAAAAUGCAAGUUAGAAGUAUAUUAUCUAAAAUGUAUAUUCAAUGAAAAUAAAAUUUGUCUUUUAAAACUUCAAUAUUAAGGUAUAUAUUUAAUUUUUAACCACAGAAAAUAAAACACAAGAGCAAAACAGCUGAAGCGCUUAGAGGAAAUAAGACAGACAUCCUAUCUAAGUUUGUCAGAAGCCUUUAUUUGAUUAAUAUAAUCUACUGCUAUUUCUAGUGGGUAUCCUAAACAUCAACCCUUUAACAUGGGACUGAUUCUUUUUUACAACAGAUCGUGACAAUAAUUUAAAUCCUACCUAACAGAACAUGGAAGGCAGCAAAGAAAGGUUUCCAUUAAGUUUCAAGUCUUAAGAGCACAUCAUGCUUAAUAUUUAAACAUAUUUCCUUGCAUCCGAUUCUUGUAUUACAGAAAGUCUCAAUUAAAAUAUUUUCAUUAAACGUCUCUUCUUGAACAGAUAUAAACUAUUUUUUGUAUUCUUUUCCAGGAAGAAUAACAGUCAAGUUUCUCCCCCAAACUCCCAGCACUGUAAUUAAGGGCCCUAUCUUCUGACAGAAACUGGCAUCCAAGUGUGGGGGCUAAUGGAACGCCUAAUGAGGCAUUUGACAAGGUUCUUUCCCAACCUUGAACUGGGCUCCACAUUUCCACCAACUCCAUCUCCAGCUAGGUCCAAGAGACGACUGAUGUUCACAGGAUGAAAGGGAUUUUAAUCCAAUAGUUAGGAGGAUAACCACUAUAGAGCCAGAUUCCAGGUCUGAAUCCUAGCUCUGCCACUUCCUAGCUUUGUCACCUUGGACAAGUCUACUUCAUCUGUCAGUGCCUCAGUUUAAUCCAUCUUUAAAAACAGGGCUAACAAUAACCUCCUGCACAGAACUGUAAAAAAACUAAGUGAAUUCAUACACAUACAGUACCUGGCAUAAGGCAAGUACUAUGUAAGACCUACUACUAUUACUACUAUGCGCUUACUGAAAACAGUUCCCUUCUUUCUCUGUGCGGAAAGGCUUCUUCUCACCUUAUCAAUCAUAUGAAAAUAGAAAUGAAUAAAAUCUCAUGGGGCUCUAAUUCAAAUGACUGAUGAUCUCUUUUAUCAACCCCUUGAAAAUGAGACAGAAUAGCUGAAAUGACCUUUCUGUUUUAUUGCCAACUCAGACCUGAUUCCUCUCCUACAAAACAGGAGAAAGUAACUUGCAUUAAAAACAAUUUAUCCCUCAGGAUGACUUGCACUCAGUAAAGCUUUACCCUUUCUAUCAUAAAGGUUGAAGUAAACUAAGAUAUUUAAAGGAAAUAAACACAAUGUUUUUAUUUUGCUUUUAUCUAACAAUAUUUAAGAUUAUACCUCAAAAAUAAUACUAAGAAUCCAACUUUACUCAGGAAAAAAACAACCAAGGGCUUUGAAGUAGCCUGUCUUCUGAACAGAUUAAAAAACAAGCAAACCAGAUUUCCUGUCAUGGCGCAGAGGAAACGAAUCCAACUAGGAACCAUGUUUUGGGUUCGAACCCUGGCCUCGCUCAGUGGGUUAAGGAUCUGACAUUGCCAUGAGCUGUGGUGCAGGUCGGCUCAGAUCCUGAGUUGCUAUGUCAACUUAAAAAUUUUUUCCAAAAUUCUUUUGAGUAUGCAAGCAAAAUAUUUUGAAGAGCACUGUUUUAGAUACAUUAAUUUUCACUUAUCAUAUAGUUAAUACUAUCUUCCUUUUACGAAAGAGAAAACCAAGGCUGGGAUACACCCGUCAGGUGUCCAGUUCAUUCAAGGUCACUGUGCCAUAUGAGCUAAAAAGCAUAUGAUAAGAGGUAAGACUCUUAAUCACCACACAAAUCUGCUCAUGAUGUAAGCACAGUGAAUAGGCACUAAAUAAAAGCUGGGAAGGCCUAGUGAAGAAUCAAAAGAAAAAGAGGCACCUAAAAAAGAAUAAGAAAUCCACUUAAUAAAUGUUUAUACAAGCAUUCUUAGCGAUGGUCCGUUAACAUAAACAGUUCCCAAUCUCCUAACUUCAGUAUUUCCAAUUUAAUCUCAGUUCUUCUCAUACUUUCUAAAACACUCAUUUUAAUAAUUCAUUCUUUCUAUUCUUAUUGCUAUCAUCAUCACUAGCAUCUCUUCCAAUAAAAAUAUCCUUCACAAGAAAAAUCUUUUAAUCUUCCUACAUUCUCCUCAUAACAAUAUUGACACCUAAAGAAUUUUUCUUCCAAGGAUCCAGUGUUGCCCUGAGCUGUGGUGUAGGUAGCAGACUCUGCUCAGAUCUGGCGUUGUUGUGGCUCCGGCAUGGGCUAGUGGCUACAGCUCUGAUUAGACCCCUAGCCUGGGAACCUCCAUAUGCUGCGGGUAUGGCCCCAAAGGGACAAAAAAGACAAAAAAAAAAAAAAAAAAUUCUUCCAAAUGAGUUAAAUGGCAAUGGGUGAACAAUCUCCACAAGAUAGUGUUUAUGAGACUAAAGAUGAUAAUAUGAAAAAAAGAAGAGCUAACCAUUUCCCAAUUUCUAUCAUUAGUUAAUAAGCAUCUUGUCUUCUUUCAUCUCUUCCAAAGAAGUAUAAGUUCUCACCCAAUCAUACUGAAUUGAUGUGAAGUAAAAACUUCAAACAGCACAAUACUUAGAAUUAGAUAGAGCUGUGGUACUAUGUUGAAUUGCAUGAGGCUCAAAAUUUCCUUGUUAAAAAGUGUCUAAUAAUUGAUAAUCUGCAUUUGCUUACAUUUGCCUAUAACAGCUAUAGAAAAAGCCCACCUAAGUAACUGGUUUUGGUUGUGUCCUUGGGUUCAAUAUUCUGCAGAUUAUUAGGCAGAAAAUGAAUAUAUGCAGAGCUUCUCUUACUGUGCUUCACAGAUGUUGCAUGUUUUAUAUAUUGAAGGUUUAUGGCAAGCCUGUGUUAAUCAAGUCUAUCAGCACCAUUUUUCCA
ensembl:lncRNA